rnacentral:RNase_P_RNA from 1 species
UUUUGACAAACGCUGUAUUCUUUGUAAUAUAGAGGAAAGUCCAUGCUCGCAAAGUCUGUGAUGACUUUAGUGUUCGUGCCUAGGGAAAAAAUAACCUAGGGUGAUUUUUUCAACGGCUCCGAAAUAACCUAAGUCUUUUGAUAUGGUUAGAUUAGGUAUAAAAGUGCCAUAGUGACGAAGAAACUAGAAAUAGUGGAAAUGGAACGAGGUAAACCCCACGAGCGAGAAACCCAAAUUUUGGUAGGGGAGCCCGGUAGAAUAGAAUAAAGAAUAUUCGAGGGAUCAAGGAAACUUGAUAGAUAAAUGUUUGUCGCCUGCUUGUCAGGAACAGAACAUGGCUUAUAA